GAUGAACGCUAGCGGCAGGCCUAAUACAUGCAAGUCGAACGGUAACAGGUCCAGCAAUGGAUGCUGACGAGUGGCGCACGGGUGCGUAACGCGUAUGCAAUCUACCUUUAACUGGUGAAUAGCCCGAAGAAAUUCGGAUUAACACACCAUAGUAUAUUAGAGUAGCAUUACUCAAAUAUUAAAACUCCGGUGGUUAAAGAUGAGCAUGCGUGACAUUAGCUAGUUGGUGAGGUAAUGGCUCACCAAGGCAACGAUGUCUAGGGGAUCUGAGAGGGUUAACCCCCACACUGGAACGUAGACACGGACAAGACUCCUACGGGAGGCAGCAGUAAGGAAUAUUGGACAAUGGUCGCAAGACUGAUCCAGCCAUGCCGCGUGAAGGAUGACGGCCCUAUGGGUUGUAAACUUCUUUUGUAUGGGAAAAAACCUCUCUACGUGUAGAGAGCUGAUGGUACCAUAAGAAUAAGGAUCGGCUAACUCCGUGCCAGCCGCCGCCGUAAUAC
rnacentral:rRNA from 1 species